rnacentral:rRNA from 1 species
AUUGAACGCUGGCGGCAUGCCUUACACAUGCAAGUCGAACGGUAACAGGUCUUCGGAUGCUGACGAGUGGCGAACGGGUGAGUAAUACAUCGGAACGUGCCUAGUAGUGGGGGAUAACUACUCGAAAGAGUGGCUAAUACCGCAUGAGAUCUACGGAUGAAAGCAGGGGAUCGCAAGACCUUUCGCUACUAGAGCGGCCGAUGGCAGAUUAGGUAGUUGGUGGGAUAAAAGCUUACCAAGCCGACGAUCUGUAGCUGGUCUGAGAGGACGAUCAGCCACACUGGGACUGAGACACGGCCCAGACUCCGACGGGAGGCAGCAGUGGGGAAUUUUGGACAAUGGGCGAAAGCCUGAUCCAGCAAUGCCGCGUGCAGGAUGAAGGCCUUCGGGUUGUAAACUGCUUUUGUACGGAACGAAAAGCCCCGGGUUAAUACCCUGGGGUCAUGACGGUACCGUAAGAAUAAGCACCGGCUAACUACGUGCCAGCAGCCGCCGUAA